AUUAUGCCAGGCACAGAGCCACGUCAGCUCACAGCUCCGCUGAGAAGUAUUCUGGAGAAAUAAUAUGGACAAUCAGGGAAAGCGAUCAUGUGUGACCCACGGAGCAAACGAUGUGGCUCAUGAGUGUGCAAAUCAUGGGCAAAGAGAACAAAAGUCUACUCUCUAGGUGCAUCUGGUUAUCUUGGAGUCAUAAAGACGGCAAACACUGGACUAUGGAACAACAGUUGAAAUGUUGAAGGAACUCACUGGCUCAAGCAGUAUCUGUGCAGUGAAAUGGUCAGUCAAGGUCUCAGGCUGUGACCGUUCUCUGAUCUAAACGACAAUUAUCUAUUUUCUUUCCAUUUUAAAGGUCCAUUGCCAUCACUGAUCUCCUUUACUUUCAUAUGUAUUUUAUUAGUGUCCUUGGAAAGCACUAAAUAAAAUAGUAUUUGCUCCUAUUGUUUUUUCUCUGUGAGUUGUGGAAAUGUUUUUAUUAGAUAUGCUCCUAGGUUUAUAUAUUCAUCUUGAUGAAACCACUUCCUUCCCAAUUGAUUAUUUGAUACCUUAUCUAACUUUUAUAUUCUUUUUCAUCACUCUUCUUCU